rnacentral:rRNA from 1 species
CCCAAGAGAUCGGGAUAACACCUGGAAACAGAUGCUAAUACCGGAUAACAACAGAUGAUGCCUAUCAACUGUUUAAAAGAUGGUUCUGCUAUCACUCUUGGAUGGACCUGCGGUGCAUUAGCUAGUUGGUAGGGUAACGGCCUACCAAGGCGAUGAUGCAUAGUCGAGUUGAGAGACUGAUCGGCCACAUUGGGACUGAGACACGGCCCAAACUCCUACGGGAGGCAGCAGCU